CCUACGGGGGGCAGCAGUGGGGAAUAUUGGGCAAUGGGGGCAACCCUGACCCAGCGACGCCGCGUGAGUGAAGAAAUCCCUCGGGAUGUAAAGCUCUGUUGUGUGGGAAGAUAAUGACGGUACCACACGAGGAAGCCCCGGCAAACUACGUGCCAGCAGCCGCGGUAAUACGUAGGGGGCAAGCGUUGUCCGGAAUUACUGGGCGUAAAGCGCACGCAGGCGGAUUAAAAAGUCAGCCGUAAAAUGCACGGGCUCAACCUGUGUUAGUCAGCUGAUACUAUUAGUCUAGAGUAUGUGAGAGGGAAGUGGAAUUCCCGGUGUAGCGGUGAAAUGCGUAGAUAUUGGGAGGAACACCAGUGGCGAAGGCGGCUUCCUGGCACAAAACUGACGCUCAUGUGCGAAAGCUAGGGCAGCGAACGGGAUUAGAUACCCCGGUAGUC
rnacentral:rRNA from 1 species